GACGAACGCUGGCGGCGUGCUUAACACAUGCAAGUCGAACGGAAAGGCCCUGCUUUUGUGGCGUGCUCGAGUGGCGAACGGGUGAGUAACACGUGAGUAACCUGCCCCUGACUUUGGGAUAACCUCAGGAAACUGGGGCUAAUACCGGAUAGGAGCUCCUGCUCCAUGGUGGGGGUUGGAAAGUUUCGGCGGUUGGGGAUGGACUCGCGGCUUAUCAGCUUGUUGGUGGGGUAGUGGCUUACCAAGGCUUUGACGGGUAGCCGGCCUGAGAGGGUGACCGGCCACAUUGGGACUGAGAUACGGCCCAGUAUCGUACGGGAGGCAGCGGUGGGGAAUAUUGCGCAGUGGGCGGAAGCGUGAUGCAGCAACGCCGCGUGCGGGAUGACGGCCUUCGGGUUGUAAACCGCUUUCGCAUGUGACGAAGCGUGAGUGACGGUAAUGAGUAAAGAAGCACCGGCUAACUACGUG
rnacentral:rRNA from 1 species